rnacentral:misc_RNA from 1 species
UUUUUGUAAUCAUGACUUGACUAGUUACACUGCACUCUGGGCUGUACCCCACGUCCCGAUACUCGGUUAGUGUUUCUGGAAUCGGUCCGAUUUCAGCGCCAUUCGAUUCUCCUCGCCCACAGCUGCAUUUUGGUACCGCCGGAAUUAACUUUGGCCUAGCUCAACUCUGGCUGUCUAAGACGGCGCAGGCACAUGUAUUUGCAGUAGCGAGUGCAGGGACAGCAAGCGACAAGCCGCCAGAAGGUUAGCAGGCCAGCGCGACGACGAUCCAGCAGCAAACACAAAAGCAACCGGGAGGUUGGGUGGCAAAGUUGCAGAGGUGAGGUGAUGGUUACGGGGACUGUGUGGGGGUGAUGGGGAUAGAGACAGAGACAAUGUCCCCCCUCACAUAGUCAAACCUCAUCGCAUUGCCCCUGUCACCCCAUCACACUACCUCUGCGCCCCUCACACCGACUAUGUCGUCCUCACGCAACCGCUGUCGCCCUCACGCAACCGCUGUCAUUGUCAUAGAACCCGUGACAAUGUCACUAUGAAAACGAAAAGUUGAGCGCUUUGGGAGAGUUGGGAGAGUUGGGAGAGCAAAAACGAAGUGGAAGGUGGCUUUUACGCUGGUUUUGCACUGGGUUUGCACUGGGUUGGUUUUGCGUUAUUCGCAUCGACGUCGGCGGAGCUGGGUCCGGAGUAGGUCCGGAUUUAUGACCAGUCCCUGCGCUAGGAUGCGUUGUGGGGUUAUUGUAGCGGUCCGGGUGGUCUGGUAUCGUCGUGAUUGCCGCAGAGAUGGUAGAUGCAAGACGGACGUCAUACCUGGGAUUUUCUGGUGACUCCUCUGUCAAUCUCGUCUAUCUCGUCUAUCUUGUCAAUCAGGUCUAUCAGUGGGCAUAUCGACGGUCCCGUUUGGGUUGGCUCACCUGUAAAGGGCCGAUCGACAGCCCCUGUCGUUUGCGUCUCUUAGUUUGUGUGGUUCGCCAGGCAUGCAGGGCAACCGGGUCCAGGGCAACCCGGUCCAUUCUGCGUCUGUUGGAACGUGAAAACUGAACUGAAGUCCACGAUCGCCAGGAGUGUCGAUCUGUCGAUCCUCGACGCGUCGAACCGCGCUCUGCGCUCUGGUCCAGGUGAUCGUCAGGCGGAGGUACAUUGUGUGGAUCGUCGUUGUGAUUUCCCCAAUGUGCCGCACUUGAUUGUCGCAUUGUUGGAUUGGCGCAUUGUGCAAUGUAGCGUUGAUUGACGAUCUUCGCGUGGAGCGUGGUCAGCGGUGGAGCAGAGUCUGCACCAGUUACGUCAGCGGUGGUUGAGUCAGCUACUAGUUGGUCAACUACAUCAGCGGUGAAUCAGCUAGGUACCCGCUGUCAGCACCCGCUGUCACAUCGGUGGCCCACACCCUUGUCCGGCUACAAGUAGGUUCUUCCGUAAGUAGUCUCCUUGUCACACCCCUGCUACCACGGCGUGUUCCCGAACGCGUUCUAGCGACUUUCGGAUAAACAGGGUCUCAGAGCAGCGUCAGGGCCGGCGCCAGGCCACCGUCGGCGUCAGAGUCAGGUCAACGUCUCACUCUCACACCCGGAUGAGACAUUUCGCAUUUGCACGGCUUGAGCGGCUUUUUCGUCCACGCUUUUGGAAGGUCGUUCGAAGAUCGUGUCUAUCGGAUCGUCAUGACCUGAAUAUCCGAGCGCCAAAUCCGCGAGCGAGUGGUAAUUUGAGCAUGACCGUGGACCGCUUCAAUUCCGCCAUUUGACCGCCAGCAGUUUGACAUUUCGCAUUUCACAUUUCACAUUUACAUUCACAACGCUCCUGUCGCAUUCGCAGUUGCCUCAUUCUGCUUCUCUCACAUCUGACACACACCCCUGUUCCGGGCCGUUGCUGCAGCAGGGGUGGAACAGGGGUGGUUCUACAGUUUUGGUGAGGUAUGACUCUCUGUUUGGGUCAACGCACUUUUGCAUUUUUGGCCUGUUUUUGGGACCUUUUCGACUUUUUCCGAGCCGGGUCUGCACUGUGACGUUGACGGCGCAGAUCGGUUGAGCGGUGUGGGUGCUCAGUAAGUGUGCUGAGUAAGUGUGCUGAGUAAGUGUGCUGAGUAGUGUUCUAAUCUGUAAUUACCAACAACUGACCAAUGUUUCACAACUAACUGCUGCCAGUCUCCCGCUCCGAUCCCCGGGCUCGUUAGUGGUCACAUGACUUGGAGGGGUCUGUCGGGGUCGGUCAAGGUCAGUGAGAGGGUCGCUAUUGGUAUAUCACAUGAACUCUGGUAUAUCACGUGAGCUCUGGUAUAUCACGUGAACUCUGUUUAUCACGUGACCUCUCGUUCGAUACAUGACUCAGCGCACACUUUCGGGUCAUGCAGAGAUCUCCAGAUGGGCAAUGACUGAUUGUCGGUGGCUGGUGGCGACUGAUGGACGGUGAUCUUCAUCUGUGGAGAUGCUCGAGGGUUCGACAAUAGCUGUUGUCUAUUAACGGUAGUGUCUCACAAUGUUCGUUCGAAUUGCCGCCACAUAGCCGCCGGAUAGCCGCAGAAUCGCAGCGGAAUCGCCGCCAAAUCACCAAAACGCUCAAAACAAACGCCAUUCCAAAGCUCUCGACGUACUGGUUUCAACGGUACCAUUUGUGUUCUUCUAGCACUCCUUCGUUAUGCGAUAUGUGUGGAUAUCUUCGACAAGAUAAGGCCGACCGCAAGGGGAAAACACGAAAAAAAAACCAGGAAAGUCAGGAAAGUCAGGAAAAUCAGGCAACCGGUUUUGAUUUUGAGAUACCCCUUUUUUGGCGAACGCCGCACGGACCCAUUCGCCAUUUUUGGUGCACUUUUAACAUACCUUUAGACGCAAUCUGUCUCACUGUAUGUCUCACUCCAAUCCCGUGGAGAGUCGUGUUUAGGGGACCGGGGUACAAGUGCUUGUAAAUGCGUACAUAUGAGUCGACAGGAACCAGGGGAGGAAGUAACCAGGGUUGUCGGGAGUUUUCCGUGGACUUUUUUCUCCUCUUUUCUGAACCGGUUCCUUUAGCGAGUGCGACCGGGUGAGGGGAAAGGGGUAUAGAGGUAUGGAGGGGUAGGUAUUCAGGUACGAGAUGAGUUGAUUUGGUCCCUUGGUCGAUUGGUCGCUUGGUCGAUUGGUCGCUUGGUUGCUUGGUUGCUUGGUCGCUCGGUUGCUUGGUCGCUUCGUCGCUUCGUCGCUUCGUCGGCUUCUGGUUGAAGCUCGUUCAGUUGUGGUUUUUUUGGUUGGUUUUUUUCUUUCUUUUGUUUGUCAACCCCGCCAACCCGACAAUCCAGUCUCGGUCUCAUUCCAUUCUACUCCAUUCCACCCUGUUCCUCUCUACUUAGUCCCACUCUCCCCACCGCCCUCCAAAUGCCCACAACAGAUGAACCGGAGAGUUUGGACUUUGAGUACUAUAGGCGGGAAAGCGGGAAAGCGGUUUCCACAGCUUCGGGGGGGGCUUUCUUAUGGUCACGUCAGUCACAGAAUGCGGUUGUAUGUGCUUACUCAGGCAAUGGCUCGGCUUACCCAGACAACGGAUCAGCCCCGACAUUAAUCUGCCGCUAAAAACCGCUUGGGUGUAGUCACGUGAUAGAUCCGGAGUAGCGAUAAUUAUGUCCCAUCAUCCAUCUAUCUCGUGACCACUUUUCGCAUGUUUAAGACACAAGUGCAUUAAAUGCCACAAAAAAAGAAAGAAAAAAGUACAGCGUAAUGGAGAUGAUGGGUGUUAUGAGUAUUAUGAGCAUCUGCAUAACGGCAUUGUAUUUGAACAUACUGCAAUUGAAUUGUUAUAUUCCGAGAUU